rnacentral:rRNA from 1 species
UACACCUGUAUUCCAUACCGAACACAGAAGUUAAGCCUCUUAGCGCCGAUGGUACUUGGGUGGAGACGCCCUGGGAGAGUAGGACGCUGCCAGAU